UUUUAUAAAGCAACAAGUUCUUAUUAUUUCACGUAUGAAGCCAGCAGAAACAGCAACGAAACAACUCGACGGACAAGUCUAUGAUCCCACACCUUACGCCUCAUACACUUCACAAGCGGAUGGUCACAUCAUCUCCAACGCUGCCAGCAUCAUCACAACUACCGAUCCCUUAUUAGCCAAAGCUACACCAGCCCCCAACCAGGGUCACGCAUGAAUUACUUCAAACAUGCUGAAAUAAGAGCGCUGCGGGUUGAUGACGAGGAUGCUCAAUUUUAUUGUGUCAAUUAAAUACUUCCAACUGUUUCGUUCCAGCAAGUGAUGAUGAAUUGAUGACUCACCAACAAACAAAUAAGCAACAAUACACACACUAAUUCAAACAUCAAGUUCA